UAGUAGGCUGAUGGAUUGAGAGAUGAAGGCUGAGAGGCUGGACGGAAGUUCGGGCAAUGCGGGAUCAGGUAUGUUGCGUAAGGAUAAUAACCCAUGAGGGGCGAGAAGUUCGUCCCGAUCCCCGCAAUGCAGGUAGGGGAGAUAGUGCUUCUCCGGAAUGGAGAAGGGCGUCGUGAACACAGAUAGUGGCUCGUCUGUAAUUCCCGGAGAUGAGUACACCUUUACGUAUACGGGGCGAUGAGGGGUCAGAAAGACCGGCGUAUACCUUCA
rfam:Roseburia intestinalis XB6B4 draft genome.